CCUACGGGAGGCAGCAGUGAGGAAUAUUGGUCAAUGGACGGAAGUCUGAACCAGCCAUGCAGCGUGCAGGAAGACGGCCCUAUGAGUUGUAAACUGCUUUUGUACAAGGGUAAACCUGAAUACGUGUAUUCAGCUGAAAGUACUUUACGAAUAAGGAUCGGCUAACUCCGUGCCAGCAGCCGCGGUAAUACGGAGGAUCCAAGCGUUAUCCGGAUUUAUUGGGUUUAAAGGGUGCGUAGGCGGAUUGAUAAGUUAGAGGUGAAAUGUCCGGGCUUAACUCGGGAACUGCCUCUAAUACUGGUGUUCUAGAGAGUAGAUGCGGUAGGCGGAAUGUAUGGUGUAGCGGUGAAAUGCUUAGAGAUCAUACAGAACACCGAGUGCGAAGGCAGCUUACCAAUCUAUAUCUGACGUUGAGGCACGAAAGCGUGGGGAGCAAACAGGAUUAGAUACCCCUGUAGUC
rnacentral:rRNA from 1 species